CUACGGGGCGCUGCAGUGAGGAAUAUUGGACAAUGGGGGAAACCCUGAUCCAGCAAUGCCGCGUGUGUGAAGAAGGCCUGCGGGUUGUAAAGCACUUUCGGUUGGGAGGACUGCUUCUAGCACUAAUAUUGUUGGAAGUUGACGUUACCUUCAGAAGAAGCACCGGCUAACUCCGUGCCAGCAGCCACGGUAAUACGGAGGGUGCAAGCGUUAAUCGGAAUUACUGGGCGUAAAGCGCGCGUAGGCGGCUAGGUCAGUCGGGUGUGAAAGCCCCGGGCUUAACCUGGGAACUGCAUCCGAUACUGUCUAGCUUGAGUACAGGAGAGGAGAGUGGAAUUCCACAUGUAGCGGUGAAAUGCGUAGAUAUGUGGAGGAACACCAAUGGCGAAGGCAGCUCUCUGGCCUGAUACUGACGCUGAGGUGCGAAAGCGUGGGGAGCAAACAGGAUUAGAUACCCCCGUAGUC
rnacentral:rRNA from 1 species